AGAGAGAGACAUGCGCGCAUAUCAAUAAGCGGAGGAAAAGAAACUAACUAGGAUUCCCAUCAGUAACGGCGAGUGAAGCGGGAAGAGCUCAAAUUUGAAAUCUUCAAGGUUCUACCUUGACGAAUUGUAGUUUAAAGAAGUGUUUUCUGUUGGAGUUUUGGUAAAAGUUCUUUGGAAUAGGACAUCAUAGAGGGUGAGAAUCCCGUAUUUGACCAUUAUUUUCCAGCUGUGUGAUACACUUUCAAAGAGUCGGAUUGUUUGGGAAUGCAGUCCAAAAUGGGUGGUAAAUUUCAUCUAAAGCUAAAUACUGGCGAGAGACCGAUAGCGAACAAGUACCGUGAGGGAAAGAUGAAAAGAACUUUGAAAAGAGAGUUAAACAGUACGUGAAAUUGUCAAAAGGGAAGCGUUUGACACCAGUGUUGUUUUCUCGAAAAUCAAUUAAAAAAGGCAGGAUUUUGUGUUGUAUUGACUUUAUCAGCUUUCUGCACUCUUUUCUUGUCUUUUUUAAUGCACUUUUCGUUUAACAAGUCAACAUCAAUUUCUUUUGUUGUAAAAGGGUCAUUGGAAGGUGGCUUUCUUUUCGGAGAAAGUGUUUAUAGCCUUUGGCCUCUGCAAUCGGAGAGAUUGAGGUCUGCAGCGUAGAUCCUUCGGGGUUAGAUACAUUUGUGCUAAGUUAUAGCCUUUCAUAGACAACUUGUUGACUAUGAUUUAGUCAUUGUAGCUUACUCGCUUAUGUUAUUUUACCUACGCUUAGGAUGUUGAUGUGAUACUGCGAGCA
rnacentral:rRNA from 1 species